AGUAAAAGUCGUAACAAGGUUUCCGUAGGUGAACCUGCGGAAGGAUCAUUAAAGAGUAAGGGUGCUCGCCGCCCGACCUCCAACCCUCUGUUGUUAAAACUACCUUGUUGCUUUGGCGGGACCGCUCGGUCUCGAGCCGCAGGGGCUUCGGCCCAGGCGAGCGCCCGCCAGAGUUAAACCAAACUCUUGUUUAUAUAACCGGUCGUCUGAGCAAAAAUUUUGAAUAAACCAAAACUUUCAACAACGGAUCUCUUGGUUCUCGCAUCGAUGAAGAACGCAGCGAAAUGCGAUAAGUAAUGUGAAUUGCAGAAUUCAGUGAAUCAUCGAAUCUUUGAACGCACAUUGCGCCCCUUGGUAUUCCGAGGGGCAUGCCUGUUCGAGCGUCAUUACACCACUCAAGCACUGCUUGGUAUUGGGCCCCGUCCCCCUCCGCGGGGGGCGCGCCUCAAAGACCUCGGCGAGGCCUCACCGGCUUUAGGCGUAGUAGAAUUCUUUCGAACGUCUUUAAAAGGGGAGGACUUCUGCCGACAGAAGCCUUUAAUUUUUCUAAGGUUGACCUCGGAUCAGGUAGGGAUACCCGCUGAACUUAAGCAUAUCAAUAAGCGGAGGAAAAGAAACCAACAGGGAUUGCCUCAGUAACG
rnacentral:rRNA from 1 species